rnacentral:rRNA from 1 species
UCCCGGAUUUGGCCAAGUUAAGGCAUCUUAACUUGGUUAAAGGUGGCCUCUACAUGUAAGCUGCCGCUUAGAGAUGAGCCCGCGUCCCAUCAGCUUGUUGGUAGGGUAACGGCCUACCAAGGCAUUUGACGGGUAGCUGGUCUGAGAGGAUGGUCAGCCACACUGGAACUGAGACACGGUCCAGACUCCUACGGGAGGCUGCAGUCGAGAAUCUUUCGCAAUGGGGGAAACCCUGACGAAGCGACGCCGCGUGGGUGAAGAAGGCCUUCGGGUCGUAAAUCCCUGUCAGGCGGGAGGAAAGACAACUUGUGAAUAGCUCGUUGUUCUGACAGUACCGCCAAAGGAAGCCACGGCUAACUCCGUGCCAGCAGCCGCGGUAAUACGGGGGUGGCAAGCGUUGCUCGGAAUUAUUGGGUAUAAAGGGCAAGUAGGCGGUUUGGUAAGUCAGAUGUGAAAGCCCCGGGCUCAACCUGGGAAAUGCAUCUGAAACUGCUAAACUUGAGGAUGGGAGAGGAGAGUGGAAUACCCGGUGUAAGGGUGAAAUCUGUAGAUAUCGGGUGGAACACCAGUGGCGAAGGCGACUCUCUGGCCCAUUUCUGACGCUGAGAGGCGAAAGCUGGGGGAGCGAACAGGAUUAGAUACCCUGGUAGUCCCAGCCGUCAACGAUGGGCACUAGGUGUGGGAUCUUUCGGGAUUCCGUGCCGCAGCUAACGCGUUAAGUGCCCCACCUGGGGAGUACGGUCGCAAGGCUGAAACUCAAAGGAAUUGACGG